GCAAGUCGAACGAUGAAGCUCUAGCUUGCUCGAGUGGUUUAGUGGCGCACGGGUGAGUAAUGCAUAGGAAUCUACCUUGUAGUCUAGGAUAGCGACUGGAAACGGGGAUUAAUACUGGAUAUUCCGGAGACGGGAAAGUUUUUCGCUACAAGAUGAGCCUAUGUUCUAUCAGCUUGUUGGUAAGGUAAAAGCUUACCAAGGCUAUGACGGAUAGCUGGUCUGAGAGGAUGAUC
rnacentral:rRNA from 1 species